CCUACGGGAGGCAGCAGUGAGGAAUAUUGGACAAUGGGCGCAAGCCUGAUCCAGCCAUGCCGCGUGCAGGAAGACGGUCCUAUGGAUUGUAAACUGCUUUUGUACAGGAAGAAACACUCCCUCGUGAGGGAGCUUGACGGUACUGUAAGAAUAAGGAUCGGCUAACUCCGUGCCAGCAGCCGCGGUAAUACGGAGGAUCCAAGCGUUAUCCGGAAUCAUUGGGUUUAAAGGGUCCGUAGGCGGUUUAAUAAGUCAGUGGUGAAAUCUGGUCGCUCAACGAUCAAACGGCCAUUGAUACUGUUAGACUUGAAUUAUUAGGAAGUAACUAGAAUAUGUAGUGUAGCGGUGAAAUGCUUAGAUAUUACAUGGAAUACCAAUUGCGAAGGCAGGUUACUACUAAUGGAUUGACGCUGAUGGACGAAAGCGUGGGGAGCGAACAGGAUUAGAUACCCUGGUAGUCCACGCCGUAAACGAUGGAUACUAGCUGUUGGGCGCAAGUUCAGUGGCUAAGCGAAAGUGAUAAGUAUCCCACCUGGGGAGUACGUUCGCAAGAUGAAACUCAAAGGAUUGACCGGNNGAGAGNGACGAGAGACGACGAGGGAGGAGG
rnacentral:rRNA from 1 species